rnacentral:rRNA from 1 species
GACGAACCGUGCGAACGUUAUUCGGAAUCACUGGGCUUAAAGCGCGUGUAGGUGGGGCGGCACGUCGGCCGUUGAGAGCCCCCGGCUUAACCGGGGAAGCGGCGCCGAUACGACCGCCCUCGAGGGACGUAGGGGGAGCUGGAACUUCCGGUGGAGCGGUGAAAUGCGUUGAGAUCGGAAGGAACGCCCGUGGCGAAAGCGAGCUCCUGGACGUUUUCUGACACUGAGACGCGAAAGCCAGGGGAGCGAACGGG